UGGCCGGGAUGAACACAUCUGUGCCAGAGGCUCUGCCUGUGACGGCUACACAACCCUCUAAGAAGUUCUGAGCUU